rnacentral:misc_RNA from 1 species
GAUGAAGAACGUAGCAAAAUGCGAUACUUGGUGUGAAUUGCAGAAUCCCGUGAACCAUCGAGUUUUUGAACACAAGUUGCACCUGAAGCCUUUUGGCCAAGGGCACGUCUGCCUGGGUGUCACGCAUCGCGUAGCCCCCUGCAAUUCUCCUUAAAGGGAACGUAGCAAAAUGCGAUACGGCUUAAUUUGGCCAAGGGCAGAUAUUGGUCUCCCGUGCUCAUGGCGUGGUUGGCCGAAAUAGGAGUCCCAUCGAUGGACACACGAACUAGUGGUGGUCGUAAAAACCCUCAUCUUUUGCUUCGUGCUGUUAGUCGCAAGGGAAACUCAUAGAACACCCCAACGUGUCGUCUCUUGACGACGCUUCGACCGCGACCCCAGGUCAGGUGGGACUACCCGCUGAGUUUAAGCAUAUCAAUAAGCGGAGGA